rnacentral:lncRNA from 1 species
GGCGUUAAGGAAAUGAAGACCCGGAAGUUCAAAAACAAACAAAGUUUGAUACAAUAAUAUCGACUUAGAUAUCAUUACGUAAGUUAGGGUUUUCCCUUUUCAGCCCAUUCUUUUCUGUUUUUUUUUUGAAUAAUUUUUUUUUUCUGGUUUGGUCACAGAAUAUUUGUGGAUCAUCUUAAAACUCAUCUUACAUAGGGGUAUCUUAUGCCAGUGAACUAUGGCCAUUUGGCCCAAUUCUCACUUCUUAAAGAUAACAUCUUUGUUUUCCUCAAAACAUUUAAGAGUAUCUUAAACGGAAAAGAUUUAUCAUGGUUGAGAAGACAGCAAAAGUCUUAUUUCACACGCAAAUUCACAUUUCCAGUUUUCUUCAUUACGGUGUAGAAGAUAUAUAAACUAGAAUUCUGUAAUGUUUUAUGAAUAGUUUUUCUUAUCCACUAAUAAGCUCAGGAUCUGCCACCUGUGUUAUUUGUGAAGUGGAGGAGAAAUCACUAAAAUAUUUACAUUUUAAAAUAUGAUCUUCUUCAAGAAGAAUUUACAUUCUGUAGGCUUUAUAAAUUAAUUCUGAAAAAAUAAAUCUCUAGAGAUUGGAUAUAUCAUAUAUGUAUACAAACCAAGUACAUAAAUGACUUUUACCUUUGAUAUUUUCAUCUUAACAUCCGUAUAUCUUAAUCUUAUGUAAGUUAUUUUUUACAUUGUUGUUUGUAAAAAUUGUAAACAAUAAUUCACCUAGUUAAUGAUUUAUCUGGAUUUAUUGGUGAUAUAUAAGAAAAAGAAAG